rnacentral:lncRNA from 1 species
UAACCUGGGUGUGCACACCAGGGGGUGGGGAAACUUCCCAUUCUAUUAAUGCGUUUAGGUUAUUUAGACCAAUGUCUCAUUAAUUUUAAAAAAAUUAAAAAUAGGCCAGGCGCAAUGGCUCACGCCUGUAAUCCCAACUUUAGGAGGUGAAAGGAUCACUUGAGGCCAGGAGUUAAAGACGAACGUGGGCAACACAGUGAGAUCCCAUCUCUACAAAAAGUAAAAUACAUUUACAAUAAAAAUCUACAAGUUCUGACCCAUAGGAGAGUGGAAAACUCAAAGGCUGCUUUUGUCCUGAAAGAAUUUGCCUAUUCUAAUAAAACAGCUGAGGUUGAAACGGCUCAGCCUCUGAAAGGGGUCUGACCCUUCCUUGAGCCCUUGCCUCCAGUGACAAUCUCCCAAGCUAAGGGAGAAAAGGAACCAAAAGUCUGCACUCCUCUCUACCUCUAGCAGUGCAGGGAGCGAAGGAAAGACAAGGGAAGAAACCCUUCAGAUUUUCAGAUCAAAUUCACAUCACUGGCCAUCCAAGAAAUCUUAAGCUCUGCGUUUAUCGUCAACCAUUUCUGCAUGAGGGAAGCAAACAGUCCUUGCUGAAGGAAGGUGCCUGCAUCCUGGGCCUCGGAACCCACUGAAAUAAUUUAGCGAAGUGCAUAAUAAAAAUAAUAUUUGCCCUUA